rnacentral:rRNA from 1 species
AACGAACGCUGGCGGCAGGCUUAACACAUGCAAGUCGAACGCAUGCCUUCGGGCAUGAGUGGCAGACGGGUGAGUAACGCGUGGGAACCUACCCCUUGGUACGGGAUAGCUCCGGGAAACUGGAGAUAAUACCGUAUGUGUCCUGAGGGACAAAGAUUCAUCGCCAAGGGAUGGGCCCGCGUCGGAUUAGCUAGUUGGUGGGGUAACGGCCUACCAAGGCGACGAUCCGUAGCUGGUCUAAGAGGAUGAUCAGCCACAUUGGGACUGAGACACGGCCCAAACUCCUACGGGAGGCAGCAGUGGGGAAUAUUGGACAAUGGGCGCAAGCCUGAUCCAGCCACGCCGCGUGAGUGAUGAAGGCCCUAGGGUUGUAAAGCUCUUUCACCGGUGACGAUAAUGACGGUAACCGGAGAAGAAGCCCCGGCUAACUUCGUG